AUGCAGGUCACGUUGCUAAAAAUUUGCAUAAUUUGUAUGAUGACAAGGCUUUUAAGGAAACACAAUGUCGAAGUUGGUUUGUCAAAUUCCGUUCAGGAGAUUUUUCAGUCAAAGAUAAGCCACGUUCAGGCUGGCAGAGUAAAGUUGAUGUUGACGAAAUCGAGGCGGAUCGUCAUGUAACUGAGCGUGAGAUUCGAGAUAAGUUAAGUAUACCAAGACAAACCAAUUCAUUUAACAAGCCGUUUUAACGCAUGUGAAAUGCAUCUUAAACGCAAAUUUCUUACGAUUUCCUCUUCUAUCACAAAUAAAAAAAAUUUCGCCGAUUUUUUCUUUUUUUUCUUUCCUAGUAUUCUAAACCAACUCCGAAAGUGGGGAAAAAUUCCCAGCGGAAAAAGUUGGCAUCUCCAAUGUAUAAAAAAUUUGGAUUAUUUCAAAAUUCCGCGAGAGUCCUUUCCAUAGAAGUUGUGUGAGAGUUUUUAUAAAAAAAAUGCUCAACAACAACGUGUAAAGUGCAGUUUCAGUAGCUGGUAAAGCGGAUUUUUUAAGGGUAAUAAUGAACCAGUUUUGGAGGAAGGUGUGAGCUGACCAAAAGAAAUAAGUCCAGCACAAAACUUCUAGGCCGGAAAGCACGUAAACAAAUAAUGCAGAGCGUAAAUUGUCCACUCCCGAAGAAGCGAAAUUCAAAAUCAUUGGAAUGAAAUAGUCGGUGGAAGGGUUGCCUGCAACGAAGUUUGGAUUGAAAGAGCAAGCGACCUUGUCAAACGAUGUGGAUAUUUGUCCUGGUGUAGAUUUUAUCUACUUUAAAGAAGAGUUCGUUCCCAUUCUUCCUUAUUUGCUUCAGCAGCGAAUAUAUAUACAAUAGUACCACAGUAUCCAUAAUUCUAAUAUAAUUUUUAUUUUCAACAACAAUUGUUUCUUUCACCAAAUUAUCAAAUGUCAAUAAUACUAAGCAGCUGAUUUCGAAAGAAAAAAAUCUUAAUUCCAAAAAAUUAUUCUUUCUGUGCACUUAGAAUUGGUGUAUUUUGUCUUAGGGGAUUUCUAAACCCGCUAGGAGAAUUUCCGCGAGAAUAUCUAGAAUUGGGCUGAUAUUUUAAGCUGCUUCCAAGGAACCAAACGAUUAAUUCGAAUGUUUACUGUGUACAUCCUAUACCGAUUAGAAGAAACGGCCAGAAUUGGUCAUUCGUACAUGUGUCAUAAUCCACCAGGACAAUGCUAGACACCGUCGGACUACCAUUUGUUUCGAUAUUUGCAGCGCUCAUUAAGUGCUAAGCUUUCGAAAAUGGCGAGGCUAUAAAAUCGUACAUAGUUCAAUUUUUUGCAGAUAAAGGCCAGAAGUUCUAUGAGCGUGGAAUAAUGAUGUUGCCGGAAAGAUGACGAAAGAUCAUCUAAUAAAGUUCAAUAUAAAAUUUAAAAAAUGUAUUUACUUCAUUUUAAAAAAUCUCCGGGUUUUUUGGAGCAGCCCAAUAUUAGCUCCCUGUUUUAAUUCAUAAUUUCAUAAUUAAUUUGGUGUAACUUUGGCUGCGGUGGCCGAGUUGUUAGCAUUGCGUCCUGCCAUUCGAAAGGCGUGGGUUCUGAUCCCCAUGCGAUCAACAUUCAAAAGUUUU